CCUACGGGUGGCAGCAGUGAGGAAUAUUGGUCAAUGGGCGCAGGCCUGAACCAGCCAAGUCGCGUGAGGGAAGACUGCCCUAUGGGUUGUAAACCUCUUUUAUAAGGGAAGAAUAAUGACUACGUGUAGUCAGAUGCCCGUACCCUAUGAAUAAGCAUCGGCUAACUCCGUGCCAAAAGCCGCGGUAAUACGGGGGAUGCGAGCGUUGUCCGGUUUUAUUGGGUUAAAAGGGGACGUAGGCGGGAUUUUAAGUGAGUGGUAAAACGUAGGGGCUUCACCUGGAUUGGCCAUUAAAACUGGAGUACUAGAGUGCAGACGAGGUAGGCGGAAUAAGGUAAGUAGCGGUGAAAUGCUUAGAUAUA
rnacentral:rRNA from 1 species